rnacentral:rRNA from 1 species
CUACGGGAUGCAGCAGUGGGGAAUAUUGCACAAUGGGGGAAACCCUGAUGCAGCAACGCCGCGUGGAGGAUGACACAUUUCGGUGCGUAAACUCCUUUUAUAUAGGAAGAUAAUGACGGUACUAUAUGAAUAAGCGCCGGCUAACUCCGUGCCAGCAGCCGCGGUAAUACGGAGGGCGCAAGCGUUACUCGGAAUCACUGGGCGUAAAGAGCGUGUAGGCGGGUAGUUAAGUCAGAAGUGAAAUCCUAUGGCUCAACCAUAGAACUGCUUUUGAAACUGAUUACCUAGAAUAUGGGAGAGGUAGAUGGAAUUUCUGGUGUAGGGGUAAAAUCCGUAGAGAUCAGAAGGAAUACCGAUUGCGAAGGCGAUCUACUGGAACAUUAUUGACGCUGAGACGCGAAAGCGUGGGGAGCAAACAGGAUUAGAUACCCGUGUAGUC